AAACCAAACCAAACCAAACCAAAUCAGAUUCUUGUUAGGUGCCCAAGCAGGAGGACAGUAGUUUGGCUGGAUCCAGGGAGCAUGUGCAGACUUGAAAGCAGGGUGGACAGAUAGGUUUAUAGUAAAGGAGCUUUGGUGAGAGCUCAGUGCGCAGGCUCCGUAGAGAGAAGGCACGGAAGGUUGGGAAUGGGUGGGGCUGCUGCUACCCGAGUUGCUGAGGGUCUGAGAUACCAGCAAGGAGGAGGGGCCCCUGGAAGAAGCGUUUUUUGAGAUGGCUGAAGAAGGAAGAUGGGCCCUCCCUACCUCCGCUUCUAGCUUCUAGUUCCUAGCUCUUUAGUGUAGGCCCUGGAUAGAUGGCCCAGCCUCCGAUCGUGGAAGACACAGACUAACCUUGUCAGAAGCCACCUUCUGUGCCCCCAGCACCACGUGUCUGGGCCACGUGAGCAACGCCACGUGGGCCUGACGUGGAGCUGGGGCCGCAGGGGUCUGAUGGCCUCCUGUUUCAGAAUCUGGGGUUCCAGGCUCUGCCUCGGCGCCUAUCAUCCUUGGGACAUCUGCUGACCUGGCUCCGGAAGAUUGUCCACACCAGUCUGAGUGACCGUGUGAGAGGAGGGGGCGGGUGGAGAUGCUCAGAAGGAAAAGGCCAGAAGGGUCUUCUUUGCAUGGGGGUCGUGUGCAGUUUAGGGAGUCAGGCAAGGUGAGAAGAGGGCAGAUGUGGGAUCGGGUGAGGAGGAGAAUGCUGGGGCUACAUGGAAGCUACCAGUGGGAAGAUAGUAUGAAUAGGGCAGCACUGGGGUGUACUCUAGGUAGGCCUCGUCUUAAUGUUCAUGCCAAGAGAUUUGAAGGGGGUGUCAGGGGUUACUUUGGGUCCGUGGGACCUGCUGCUGCCUUGGAGGGCAGGAGGGCUUGGGUAGGUGACUUUGCUGUGUCACCUUGGGAAUCAGGAAGGGUAGCUGCAGCGGUUUGGUUUUGAGUCUGCGACUCUUAAUCAGAUCUGGAAUAAUACUUGCUAUUGUCUCUAGUUCUGGGGUUCUGAGAGUCACUGUAGAAUUCCCCAGGACAUGUGUGGGGAGGGUGGUCUGCAUGUGUUUCCAAGUUGGGGUCCUAGCACCUCCGCCUGCUCAGGGCUCUUAGCCAUAUUUGUUCGUUUCUUUCAACAUUGUAAAAAGAAGGCAAAUUUUAUCUUUUGAUUGACACGCAUAUGCAAAACACAACGUCCUUUCUUUGAUAAUACUGG
rnacentral:lncRNA from 1 species